rnacentral:rRNA from 1 species
AGCGAACGCUGGCGGCAGGCUUAACACAUGCAAGUCGAACGGGCGUAGCAAUACGUCAGUGGCAGACGGGUGAGUAACGCGUGGGAACGUACCUUUUGGUUCGGAACAACACAGGGAAACUUGUGCUAAUACCGGAUAAGCCCUUACGGGGAAAGAUUUAUCGCCAAAAGAUCGGCCCGCGUCUGAUUAGCUAGUUGGUGAGGUAACGGCUCACCAAGGCGACGAUCAGUAGCUGGUCUGAGAGGAUAAUCAGCCACAUUGGGACUGAGACACGGCCCAAACUCCUACGGGAGGCAGCAGUGGGGAAUAUUGGACAAUGGGCGAAAGCCUGAUCCAGCCAUGCCGCGUGAGUGAUGAAGGCCCUAGGGUU